ensembl:lncRNA
CGAUAACAUCCAUGGUUAGUCAACACAGAUUUAAGCUUCUCUUUUUUUUGAUUGCACAAGUAAAGGGCUUGGUUAUUUUUGUGUAUCAUCAUUGGUUGUUUCUGUAUAAUGCUAUGUGUGGCACAGAGGUAUAAAAGUUCCUAAUCUGUAGUUCAGCUUCAACUUGAGGAGGAGGAACUGUUCAACUGAAAAGUUACAACCUCCACGGCUGCAUUCUUACACAUUUAUUGAAAACAGAACUUGAAAAAGUUGAAAUGAAGAAGCCUGCUCUCCUCUCUGCAGCCCUGCUGCUGCUGUUUUUUGUUGGGACAUCAGCUCAGGGUAACCUUUAGUGUUUUUUUCCUGUGUUGCUAAAUAAAAAACAAAAAGAAAUGCCAAAAAAUCCUUGAAAAGUCACAUAGAUUAAUCGCCUUUAUUGUUUUUCUGCUCAUCUUCGGUAAACUAACUUCACCCUCCUUUGUUAUUUAAGGUAACACUAACUUCAGAGUGCAAGUGAAUGUGCCACCCACUAACAUUAAGACCUACAACACUUUUACUGCUUAUAGAGGCAGCCUCUUCGGUGGACUGACGAGACUGAGAUACUCAAACCAAGGCUUCAACUUUCAGUACAUACCACAUGAUGACUAUGGACCAUUCCUUCAGAGUGUAAAUGGUUUGGCAGGAAAUUCAUCACACUACUGGCAACUGCUGAGUGGUACAACCCCACUCAAUGUUGGUAUAGGAUGUUACCUUCCAAAGGCAAAUGAAGUCAUCACCCUUAAAUACACCUCAACACAACAGGAUCAUCUGAAAUCUCAUUCUGACUUAUAGUCAACCAACAUGCUUUGGUUUUUGACAGGUUUAAGUUAAUACUUAGUUUUUGGGUAAUUUUUCUGUUUGGAAGCUUUUCAUGACAAAAUGUGUCUAAUCAUAAGUUGGUAGCCUAUCACUGUCUUAGUUUCUUUGACUGGGUUUGUGUUAGACUUUAUCAAUUAAGAUUACAGCUUUUAUCUACACGUCUGCCACAGUGUAGCAACCUGAAGUAACAGAAAACUCCAUUGGUUACAAGAGUAAUCAGUAAAACAUUUUAAAGUUUAAAGACAUGCAAGAUUUGCAUAUUAGUCAACUGAAGUUCUUGAACUGUUUUUUAAUUUACUGCGCUUAUGGCAACUUUUAUUGUGUUUGAGAGUAAUUAGUAGUUUCUCGACUUGCCCCUGUGUGCUAUAAUUUUACAUUCAAAUUCCAUUGUUUGAGAGGUACUUAUAUACUGACAAGGGAUAUCAGUUUCAGUGUAAAAAGAUUGUUUGGUUAUACAGUAGACUCUCCAAAGGCUGCUGGCCAGGAAAAACAGCCAAUAAGGGCAGCUUAGCUUUAAAAUGGCUUCUGCAUUCUGUGAAUCCAGUUAUCAACAGCUUGGGAGCCAGGAGGUUUCUGAGAUUGACUGGGAAGCUGACCUCCUCUUGGACACCAGCAAGUCUCUAAGAUCAGCUGUGAAAUUACAACUAUUUUUGAGCUUUUGGGGGCUCCUAUGGGGUUGUGAGCAGAAUAAGAACAAAUAAAUUGCUUAAUAAUUUUUGUAUUAGUGCAUUACUGUUGAAUAACUGUUUAAUAAAAGCCUCCACUAACCACUCUGGUUUGGUGAGGAAAGGAAAAAGAAAACAGUAAAAUAUGGUGCUAUUUCUCGCAUUAUGUCACAACAAAGUAAAACAACAACUGGAGAAUGGGAUGUAUGGUGAGCAAAUCUCCAUAAGUCUUUAUCUGUCAAAACCUUAACACUUAUUUUUUUAAAGUUCCUAUUUACUCCGGUGAAUACUUUAUGCUCUGUUUUUUUUCCUGGCUUGCUCUCUAUCUGCUUGCACUGCAAUUAUUCUUAUUACCUCAUAAUGCUUUGCAAGACAACUAUAGUGCCAUCACUCCCCUCUGCUGGAUAAAAUUGGUACUGCAUAUAUUAAACAUUAAAACUGGCUUGAAUAGCAGUGGAUAACUUUGAGAGGGUUACAUUCUCUUCCUCUUAAGCCGCAUGCAUGUGGAACUUUACACUGUUUCAGUGUCCUGGGGAUAAGUUGAUCUACACUACGUACACUGUCAUGGGUCAAGGCUAAGGUGAAAGCUUGGUCUAACCCAGACAGAAUGGAGUGCAUGACUCUCACUAAAGCGGACCUUCCCAAAGUGUGGGGCUCAGUUCAACUUCAGUUGACUAAUAUGCAAAUGAAAAGGGGGGGAAAAAAACAAAACGCUUGGACACUGCUAGCACAGAGCGCCCACAGAAACGCAAAGCAGGAGAUGAAGCAUAGCUGAAUAUGUUUCCAAACCAACUUCAUUCUAAGCCAAAGACUAGAAAAUAUGGUGAAGCAUAUCUUCCCUUUGGUUUCACCUGCACAAGUGCCGAGGUAGGUCUCCCUGCAGAAUUGGUUUUCCCUCCUGUUCAAAUCACAGACAAACAGGAUCCCACAGUUGUUUAUGUUUUUAAACACAUUUUGCACAGAGAGGCAUUUUUUGAAAAAUGUAUUGAUAGCAAUGUUGAAUAUUAUUACACAUGAAAAAAAAACGACUUGUAAAAUAAUCACACCAUGACGCAUCUGUCUUUCUAAAUGGAAGGACAGUAACUGCGUGUGUAUAUGCAAGUGUGUAAAACCUGAAGAUAGUCAGAUUAACAGUAUUUCGUCUCUAUCUGCCAUUCUGCAGUUCAUCUCAUGUAAAAAAAUAACGUGCGUGACAUGAAAAAGGCGCAUACCUUUGACGUUGCGACCAACUCUGUAUUCAUCGUCCACAUGUAAAUGAAAAAAAGGAGUUUAAAAAAUCUCCGUUUUCGGUGAUUCAAAACAGCGUUUACGUGUGAACGAAACAGCUGCGUUUUCAAAAAUACCGUGUAGGUGUGGACGAAGCGUAAAAGAGUUAGUAGUUUAUUUUAUUACUACCUAUAAUUUAUUGCAGGUUACUUGUAUUUGCUUAAUUGUUUACUAAAUGUUUGAGGUGUGAAAUAAAGCGCAAUGGAGCAAAAUAUGGGCGUGUGUGGUUGGAGGAUGUGUGCGUGCGUGUGCAUGGGGGGGGGGGGCGAGAUCUCGCAA